UGAUACCGUUUACGACCGUUCUUCGAACUCAGUAGACAUGCAGUCCCACCAGGUGUUUGAUAAUUGCUGCCGGAUUGAAACUCCAAGGCGGAGCUUUGUAAGAGCAAGCGUUUAGGCACCCCCGAAUGGUUGAUAUUUGGGGAUUCAAGGAUUUCUCAAGAAUGCAUGAAAGAAUCAAAGCAACGCUCCAGAUAAGACUGCAGCUGUGGCACGAUGAGAGGAGAAUCUGUCUGACAUGAUGCACAGAGAAAGAAACAAAAGCUGGAGAAAGCAGAGCAGCUGAAUGUGCACCAGUAAUUUCAGAUCUUCCUAAUGGACACUUCAUUCAAAUCUUUUCACAUUUUGUGACACUACAACCAUACAUUUCAAGAAUCAAAUAAGCCCUCAGAGUUGUUUUUCUUUUGCAAAUCUCCCUUCAUAUCUGGGUCAGAAGACACUGACAGAGCACUCUAAAGCAGUGUUUCUCAAUUCCAGUCCUCAUGCCCCCCCUGCCCUGCAUGUUAUAGGUGUUUCCCUUCUGCCGCACACCUGAAUUGAAGCUGUGAGUGAUUAACAGGCUUCUGCAGCACUUGAUGGUCAUGCAAUCAUUUGAAUCAGCUGUUCUGGAAUAAAGGCACAUCUAAAACAUGCAGAGCAGGGGGGCCUGGGGACUGGAAUUGAGAAGCACUGGUCCUAAUGAGAAUCAUCCAAACAUCAUUAGAGCAGCCUGAUCCAUGUGACCCAGCAGAAGAUACUUCACAUGCACAACUUCUUGGAAAGAGACGCAAAAGGCGGAGAUUGUGUGGAAGAGGUGGGUUGGAAAAUGAGAGACAGAUGAGAAAAGGGCCAACACUGAUUGACCAAUCAGGUUCCAGAAAGCUGAUCGGCGACUGUAUAUUUAAACUGAUCACCCAUGAGAAUAAUUAGAAAAGAAAAAGGUUUUUGGCUUCCAUCGCUGCAGCUCUGUGCGUCUUUGUUUAUGCGGCUCCUCAUGGUUGGACAACCUCGUUCUCAAGCUUGAAAUAAACUCCAGCAAAGCCGCUCUGAGUACUUCCACAGAGCGGUUUUUAGCGGUUUUCGUAAUAACAGUUUCUCCCCAUGUUAAUUUUUCCUCUCACCACCAACCAGAUGCUAAUGGCCUGAGCCUGAUUGGCUAUUAUCUCCCUGGUUUUCACGGCUUAUGUGAGAGGAGUCUCUGAGAGCUACAGACAAGACAGCAGCAAAAAGCCAGAGAUGCUGCUGCUACAUUCCUGCUUAAUUACCACAUGCAGCCAUGUUGGAAAACAGCAGACAUGCAGCGGUAGGAGCAUGCACACACCAACAUAAAUAAAUGUUAUUGGCAGCUCUGCGAAGCUUACUUAGUCACAUCCUGCUCACUGUGACUGUUUUGAUGCUCUUUACUGGAAUAUAAAUGUGUCGUAACACUGCAAUGAAUCAGGACUUUAGAAAAUGCCUUAAUGCCAAAAUUGAAGAUUGCUUAUUGCCCAGGAGUAAAAGUAUAAAGGAACAAACAUGUUGAAUUGUUAGUGUUGAGGACCCACCAGAGCCACGUGGAGAACAAGAGCUGAACUGCCCACAGAGAAAAAAGUUGUAGAAACUCUGAAUCCCAGAAUACACAGCAUUCUUCCCUUUUCAUAAUGUACUCCUUAUAAGGAGGAGUUCUCCCUCAACUCUGGAGUUUUAUGUAGCAGCAGGUAAUAAAAGUUAAGUCAAGAAUGAUUUAAAAUUUUCAAAAACACUCAUUGUGAUUAUUAUUUGUGGUCUGAUUAAACUAAAGUAGAACUAUUUGGGUGUAAGACCAUUGUUACAUUUGAAGAAAAAAGAGAGCUGUUUCCACCAUCCAAACUAUGAAGUAUGGGAGUGGCAGCAUUAUGAACUAGUACACUUCAUAAAUGAGAUGCCACCAUGAUGAAAUAACCUUAUGUUAAAAUAUUGAAGCAACAUCUCAAUACACCAGCCAGGAAAUAAAAGCUUGGGCACAGAUUGGUCUUCCAAACAGACAUUAACCCUAAGCAUACAGCCAAAGCUGCCACAAAGAGGCUUCAUGACAAAAAAGUCAGUCUACUGACUAAAAUCCUGACCUCCUGUCCUGAGAAGUUGUGGGAAGACUUGAAAUCUGAGGUGGCCUACAAAAUGGGCUCAGUUCCACCAGUUCUGUCAGGCCUGAGCCAGAACUCCAGCAAACUAUUGUGAGAAGGUUGUGAAAGGAAACCUAAAAGGUUUGACCCAAGUCAUACAGCUUAAAAGAUCCCGAGACUGACCAAAUGUAUGUAAACUUUUGCAUAUGAGGAAAGUUGCCAAAAAAGCUCUAAAAGAUUUCUCCUUAAGUUUUCUGGCAUUUAAGCAAAUGGAAGAAAUUAUUUGGGUAAUUGUAACUAAGCUAGAAUUACCCAAAUGUUGGUCCACUAACAUCUGGGUAAGAAAAAGAUGAUCAGAUUUAACUUAAGACAGUGAGAAAGAAAAUGUGUUUGUGUUUUUGCAUUCAGUUUAUGUAAAUAUCUGGUUUUAAUUGAAGUAUUUGAAUAAUAAAGAAUUCAGACUUAAACCAUCAAA